CUUGCAUGGAGGCCCUGAUGAAGCUGAUAAUAGCCGUGUUCUCAUGUGGUUCCUGUUAUUGCACUUCUGAGGGGCCUCAAAUACGAUAGUUGAUUAGACAAUUCAUUUUUAAUUAACAAGUAGUCAUCAGUUAAUCAGAGGAGCGAGUUGGCUCGCCGGUUAAAACUCUACCAGCACAGAAUAAAGAGAUGCAGGUCAGGGAUCUCACGCACUUUUGAAAAAUAUUUUAUUGGAAAAAAAAUAAAAUGUGCAAAGAUAACGGCAAGAAAGACAAAACAUGCAAAUGAACAAUAGCAACAAUACAGUGAAAAAUAUAAAGAUGGAAUAAUGCGUGAAAGAUCAAUAGAGGGAAUAGACAUGGUGUAUAAAUAAGUAUAUAUAUAUAUAUAUAUAUAUAUAUAUACGUAUAUAUGUAUAAAUAAGUAUAUUUAUAUAUGUAUAUAUAUAUAUAGAUAUAUAUAUAUAUAGAUAUAUAGAUAUACACAUGGCUUAACCCUGAAAAAAGGUUACAAACAACGCUUUAGUUUGACAGAAGACGAUUACUGAAAGGAAAAUCAUCAACCUCAUCGGGGAUCGAGGGAACUGGCAUUUGUGUAUUUAAACCAUGUGACAGUCUUUAAAGUAAGACUGUGUCCCGUGAUGAUGCGACGACACGGGGGAUCUUCCGGGCUCCGUAUUGAUCGGUCAUCGAUCCUCCUCAAUGUGGACAAAAUAAUAGCACACAACGUCAAAGCGCAACAUCAUUGAGUCUGUAAGUAAGUAAGUCUGAUAGACUUGAUGUCUGUACACCGACUUGUGCUUGAAUUAGACACAGUAGUGUUGUCAGCAAUCCAACGCAGCUGCUGUGCAGCAUUUCACUGCUUCUUCUUCUCUUCUUUAAUGUCAAACUCCAGCCGGGUCCUCCAGCGCUAUUUGCCGCCCUUGUUGCAAGUGUUGAAGAACACCGAGACGCAGCAUUAGUCCGCAUGAGCGGCCGGCAGAGCCACGCGCGCGUAGAAAGUUUUCAUAUCUGUCCUCACAGACGGGUAGUUACUUCCAUAGUGCCCUUCGUGAGGAUUUCCAUCAACAGCGAAGGCCAGAAGGGACGACAGAAGAAGUGAAAUGAUCGGUCUCAGGCUGCGGCCACGCUGUGUUGGCGCGUGGUGGAGAGAAACUGUGGGCUCAGCUAUAAACGUUUGGCCCAAAGGUGCUUUGACACAUGCCGGGCCGAUAAAUGUGAUCGAGGGGAUCAAGUUAAUCGCGCACACCGACCAUCAUUGUCUGCAGUCAGACAGCAACAGCCGACCACAACGGCAGCGAGGUGCUUUCACAUGCAGAUUUAAAGUUUCACAGACGACAUGAAGAGCUCGAUGAAGCGUUUUGCUUUUAUUUUACUGUCUAAAUGUCCGUUCUUAUGUUAAAUACUGCAUGAUUUCAGAGUUUCCUACUAGAGUUCCUCUGCAUGCUUUUGUGCUCUUUAGUUUUCUGUGCUUUGGGAGGUUGAUGGUCGACGGGAUGUUGGUUCCGCCUGUGGAACGCAGUCUGGUCGCCCACUCUCUCUCUUCGCGGGGCGGAGGAGGUAUUUCUGGACUUUGGCGGUGGGUUUAGGGGUUGUUUGAAGGUUGGCGGAUUAGAGGAGGAGGAAAUAGACGGGGACGGGAGGACAGGUGGAUUGGAAAAAAAAAGAUGGGAGACGAGGAAAAAGAUUUAGUUUGGGCGAGAGUAAAGUAUGGAUUUGAGGUGAAAUGGGAGGCGGGAGGAUCAACUCAGCAUGCGGGUUGAUGAAGAAGAGGGUUGAGAACAGCUGGUAUUCAACUUCUGUCUCCUCAUUCAUCCCAGUAUGUGUGUGUGUGUGUGUGUGUGUGUGUGUGUGUGUGUGUGUGUGUGUGUGUGUGUGUGUGUGUGUGUGUGUGUGUGUGCGCACUCUUGUGUGUCUUCCUUUGUGAGGACCAGCUUGACUUUUAUGCCAUGACAUUAAGGACACUGUUAGGAAAGUGAGAACAUUUUGUCCUCUGCUCGUUUCUUUAAUCGUCUGCUCCGGGGUUAAGACUUAGUUUUUGGAUUACGGUGGCACUUAAGUCUCUUCUCCUGCCUCUCCCUCUUUUAAUUUCCUCUACUCGUUUUUAAUUUCCUCUCCUUCUCCAUCCUUUUUUCUUCUCUACACUCCCCUCAGACUGUUUACUGUCUUAUUUUCUUUGUCCCCUUUUCCUCCUCCUGCACUCCUCCCUCCUUUAAUUCUCUCUCUUACAUCCUUGUUUCCCUUCCUUUUAUCUUUUUAAUUCUCUGCCUCUAUUUCCUCUUAUUCCCGCUAAUCUUCUCAGCAUCUAGUGAUGUAUCUUCCUUUUUCUUAAAAUGUCCCUCUUAUCCUCCCAUCUCCCCCCUCGCCUCUUCUUCCUGUUUGUACCUCUUUCUACCUUGUUUUUAAUCUCCUCCUUGUCUUGCUUCCUAUUCUCCUUUCUUCUUCACUAUAUUAGCUUUCUUUCUCUCCCUUUCUCUCCCGGUCUCCUCUCUCUUCUCCUCUCUCCUCUCCUCCACUUUCCUCCCAGCAGGAUUAUUGAUGGUCUCCUAUUCUCUGUGGCCGGCCAGAGAGGAAACAGAGACCCCUGCAAAGAGUGGAACAGCAUCACAACCCCUCAGGCAGGUGACCAGGUGAAUGACUCUGUGUGUGUGUGUGUGUGUGUGUGUGUGUGUGUGUGUGUGUGUGUGUGUGUGUGUGUGUGUGUGUGUGUGUGUGUGUGUGUGUGUGUGUGUGUGUGUGUGUGUGUUGUGUGUGUGAUGGGAUUUGGGUCCAGGUUUGAGUUAUUGUGGCUGCGCUGACUGAAGCAAAAAGGUAAAAGGGGGAAAAAAGAGGAAAGAAUUCAUUUCAUCCAGUAGGAUGAGAGUUUUUUUGUGGUGUGUGUGUGUGUGUGUGUGUGCGUGCGUGUGUGUGCAGAGUAACAGUGGACUCCUGCUACCUUCCAGCCCCACAGGCCUCUCAGGAUAAAUGGAUUUUCGUUUUCUAUUCUAGGACGCACUGGACCUUAUUUCCUUCUCAUUCUCCUCUCUCUUUCAAUCUCUGUCUCCAUCUCUGUUCUCCCCGAGCUACAAGAACACGCUCGCAGAUGUUUUAACCCCGACCCUCAGCUCUAUUAUCGCAGUUAAUAGACAUUCAAUUAAUUUGAUUAUGCCCGAUUACAGCAGACUAUAAAAAAAGGAGCUGAACUAAUCAAAGCAAGAAAAAAUAUCACAUUUGUGCAGAAAAAAAACGGAGGCUAUAUGGAAGUGCUCCAGACAGCACAAGAAUGGUAUCGGCCUCUAUAGCUGAUAACCUAUAGAAACAAGCUGGACAAACGCUAGCUGCCGCUCGCCUCACAGCCCCGGCGGGACGUCCGAUUGACCCCUGACCUCAAGCACCUGCAUAUCAUCUCACCCCGAAUGAAGUAGCCACUGUUGCCAAAACAAGACGUGCAUCUGAGCCUAACCCCUCCAACCACAGCGUUGUGAGAUCAUAAAACAGGUCUCAACAUCUUAUGAAUCAAAUAACUUGCUGUGCCAAGAUGGCGUCCCAUUCAUUCUAGUGAAAGUUCUUCAGGCUUCCACAUCUUGGACCCACCUGGACGUUACAGCCCUCUGACUGACGGCUCUAAGGCAGAAGAAUACGGCGCAUGCAAAUGUGCACACGGCGAUGUGGUGAGGGAACAGGGUUACAGGCUGGACGCAGAACGGCAGUCCGAGUAGUCCAAAUAAAAGCAGCGCCGCAGGUGAGCUGUUCCAGGCAACCGGUAACACAAGACAAAAGAGAUCCCCUUUAGAAGGCUGGGAAGCAAAAACAUAAGCAACAGUGACCAUGGAGGGGGAUGUGUGCAAUGGGCCGGUUAUCCACUGCAGGGCAGAGGCAUGAACGUGAAAACAAAUGAGCAGGAGGACGUGAGGGGCGGGCGACAGGGGCAGGUGGGAGAGCUGCAGGGCAUCUGCUGGAUGGAUGGGAAGAGCAGGACUGAGGCCCACUAUACAGGUAGGUGACACUUUUGAAAGAUGGGAUGGCAUAAAAACAGUUUACUGAUACGGCGCUUCAACGUGUGGCUCAUUCUGAGACAGAAGGAGUGAUUUCAUGAUGUCACAGGAGCCUGGACUGUGAAGUUACAGACGCACAAACGUCUUCAGGCUUCAGUUUCUACGCGCCAGUCCAAAUAAAAACACUGCUGAGUUGCAUUUUUCCCAUCAGUAAGUGAAUUGCGGAGGCCGUUGAGCUUGUUAAAGAAAAAACGUUUGAUGGCGUAGUUAAACCUCACAUGAAAACCCGGAUUCAACUUUCUCAUUAAAACUGCAACGGGAAAGGAAUCUAACAAAAAAAAAAUCUGAAUUCUUUGUUUCUCACCCAAAAGCCACAUAGACGCACAAAAAGCCCAGUCAAGCUCUUGUCCAAAAAGAAAGCACACACCAAAGUCUUGGAGGUUGCUCACAUUAACCGCAGCCGGAUUUAGCUUGGCUGGGUUUUGUGUUCAUUACUGGUUUCUGCUCUUUGUUCUGGUACGAGUGAAGUCUGCACAAUGGAUAAGCUCAUGUCACUACCUGCCUCCAGCGUUUGGCUUUAAUUAAUUUGUAAAGGUUGGGAUGUUGCAGCUGGGCUCUCUCUUGUUUGAAUAAUGCUCGUCUAUUAAAAGCGCGUUUUGGCAACACAAAGCUCCUGAGCCGGUGUUUUCAUGUAAGCUCUGUCAUUCAGCAUUCGCCUUGUUCCUCCUCCCGAGACAGAAAAUCCUGCCCUUGGCUUUGACUUCGUAUUCCAGUUCAGGCGCUUAAGAGUCGUCCUUCUGCUUCAGCUCUCAAGACUAGAAUCAAAUCUACAGAGAGGGAGAGAAGCUCGACAUUGUCCAGAGAGGGUCCGUCUCUGAGUGAUCGCCAUGGUGAUAAGUGCAUUACAGCACAUCUUACAGUAGCGAGGGGAGCUGUGCACGGAGGAGGAAGAGAUUCAGUUUCAUCUCAACAUGCACAUGAGAUGCAACGUAAAAAAAGGAAUUGCCUUGUAUGUUCAACGUGUCAUUUUGAUCCAUUAGGAUAAAUCCUUAGAUAGCAGACAAAAUGUAUUUAGAUCAAAGUUAAUUCAUGUUCCCUGCAAACAAAUAUUCAAACGACUACUAAUAAAUUUACCACUACAGCAAACUCUUCUUUUCUAGUUGGCCUGCAACGUGGUGGGAAAAUAUCAUACGUCUUAAUGAAGCAGUUAGGAGCAUUUCAUCAGCCACUAACAGCAGAAAGGCUGCAUUCACUUCCCCAUCAAGUCCUCCGCCGACCUUCACCGGCAGGCUGGAUUCUCGCCACGUCAGGAAAGUCACUGCGUCACAAACGGCAUCACGGGACCAUCCAUCUUGUUGGGUUUCAAGCAACGCAUUUGGGUCAGGUGAGUCAGCGCACGGACCAAUCAGCAUCCCGCGAGGAGCCGCUGGCAGCCGAGGGCGGGGCUUAGGUGCGUGAACCCUUCGCUCAGUACAACGACUGCAGCUCCUGCAGACGCGUGCAUUGCUGGCAUUGCAUUCGCCGUCUCAGGACUGGGGGCGGGACUGAAAGAGAACAAUGGAAGACCAUGUUUUAUGCAGUCGGAGGUUGGAACGAACCGAAGGGACCUCAAUGGUAAAACAACCAUAAGAAUCCGUAUUUUUCAGCAAUUCAUGUCACCUGCACCAAAUCUGUGCCCAAAUCGUACCACUCAGUUGGCGCUUAACUCUGACCCGUGUAUCACAUUCAGCAUGGACACGCGUCCUCACCUCCGAGGCCCCGCCGGCAAAGAGCCAGCAGACUGGAGAGACUAAAUCUCAAUACGAGUACAACAGGGUGGUAGACAAAGUGAUUUCAGUCUACCAGCUCAGACACACGAGUGCUGAACCAUUGCGAGACAUGCGAUUAAUUCCGCCCUCCGCGGGUGAAAGCUGCUCUCUGAAAGCCUCGGCUUCUGGCGCGCAUAUGGCUUCACAGGUUUCACAAACAAUCACGUUCAUUCUGAUUAUUUGCUUCCAGCCGGCCCAGGAGCAGCAGAUGGGCCCGGGAUAACUGGUUUCCACAUAGAACUUUUUCUGCUGCCUUGAGAAAAGUCCAAUCCUGCAGAAACGUAAGUGAGAAAAAGGUUCUCCGCUCGCUGUGCAUGCGGAUGGAGCGAGAUUAUCAGUCCCACCCGUGCAGCACUGAAGGUAGAUCAUCAGUCCGCAUUGAGGUGCAGCUUGGAUGUGCGAUAUCGUUCGUUAAGCUUUACCAAUAGAAUUGAAACGGUGGCCUGAUAGGAAAAGGUUUGUCAAUUAGAAUGCAUUCAAAUGUAACUUCCCCACUACGAUAAAUAUAAUGGAUUGUUAAUUGAAAUAAUUCAAUGUUGACUCUUCUCGUUUCGCGCAGGACACAAACAGCUGCCACCUUCCGCCCCCCGUGUGGGUCUCUGCUGGUCUUCAUGCUUCCCCCGUCACCACGGUUACAUCCAAAUAGAUUUGGUUCGACAGACUGGCUCCUUUGACCCAUCCACCAUCCCUCCUUCUUUUUAAUACUCAUCACACCACAUUUCUCCCACUAACACGUUGGAUUACGUCGCUCGCUCUGAAAGCAGAAACGUGAGCAUCGAGCCCGUUAAUUGCAGAAAGAGUGUCGAUGUUUCUCCCUGGUGGCAGGGCGGCUUUGAAUCAUAUACCGAUAAGAGGUUUAAUGUUCCCUUUUUUGUGUUUUUUGAACACAUAAUAUCGUAUGUGUAGUCAUGGCGUCGUUCACUCCUUCCUUCCUCUUUGGACUGUUUACCUGCUCAAUGUUAUUGAGUCACGCUCAUGAAACGUAUCUUCAGGGCUGGUGAAGGAGUCAUUUACAUCGAUGUGAGCUAUUCUUCCAAAGGGGGAAUAAGGGAAAUAGGCCCACUUAGUACUUCAUAGAUGUGUCCGUCUAAUUGGUUGUGUUUCUACGACAAAUGAAGUGGAUGGAAAGACGUUUCCUGCUGCUCCCGUGAACACGAGUCAGGGCGCCGGGCCUCACCGCGUGCUUCCACGCAGAAGACUGGGAAGCCACCUGCACACAUGUGGUGAUAGGGGAGGGGGGGGGGGGGGGGGGUUCUGUAGGUCAAUAUCUCCUGCGGGAAUAAAAAGAUUGAAAUAACCUCUUUCUCUUCCUCUUCCUCUUCCUCGGGCAGCGGACAGGUGAUCAUCGCCUGGUGCCAUUUUUCACUGACCUGCAGACCAGACCUUCGUUUUUUUUCUAUCGAGUCAAUUUCUUUUCUCUGAGGAGAAAUUAAUCACUUCUUUGUGUCGGCCACCACGUGCUUAUGUGUGUGUGUGUGUGUGUGUGUGUGUGUGUGUGUUUAAUAUUCAGGUUGUGAAACGAAUGCUAAUUUAAUC
ensembl:lncRNA